AUGCCCACUUCAGCAGCACAUAUGCUAAAAUUGGAAUGACACAGAGAUUAGCAUGGCCCCUAUGCAAGGAUGACACAAAAAUUCAUGAAGCAUGCUGUUUUUUU